UACGUAGGGUGCAAGCGUUGUCCGGAAUUAUUGGGCGUAAAGAGCUCGUAGGCGGUUUGUUGCGUCGGCUGUGAAAUCCCGAGGCUCAACCUCGGGUCUGCAGUCGAUACGAGCAAACUAGAGUGUUGCAGGGGAGACUGGAAUUCCUGGUGUAGCGGUGAAAUGCGCAGAUAUCAGGAGGAACACCGGUGGCGAAGGCGCUUCUGGACUAAUACUGACACUGAGGUACGAAAGCGUGGGGAGCAAACAGG
rnacentral:rRNA from 1 species